GGUUAAGCGACUAAGCGUACACGGUGGAUGCCCUGGCAGUCAGAGGCGAUGAAGGACGUGCUAAUCUGCGAAAAGCGCCGGCGAGGUGAUAUGAACCCUUGACCCGGCGAUGUCCGAAUGGGGAAACCCAGUGCAAUCCGUUGCACUAUCGUUAACUGAAUACAUAGGUUAACGAGGCGAACCGGGGGAACUGAAACAUCUAAGUACCCCGAGGAAAAGAAAUCAACCGAGAUUCCCCCAGUAGCGGCGAGCGAACGGGGAGCAGCCCAGAGUCUGAAUCAGCUUGUGUGUUAGUGGAAGCGUCUGGAAAGUCGCACGGUACAGGGUGAAAGUCCCGUACACGAAAAUGCACAGGCUGUGAACUCGAAGAGUAGGGCGGGACACGUGGUAUCCUGUCUGAAUAUGGGGGGACCAUCCUCCAAGGCUAAAUACUCCUGACUGACCGAUAGUGAACCAGUACCGUGAGGGAAAGGCGAAAAGAACCCCGGCGAGGGGAGUGAAAAAGAACCUGAAACCGUGUACGUACAAGCAGUGGGAGCACCUUCGUGGUGUGACUGCGUACCUUUUGUAUAAUGGGUCAGCGACUUAUAUUCUGUAGCAAGGUUAACCGUAUAGGGGAGCCGAAGGGAAACCGAGUCUUAACUGGGCGUUAAGUUGCAGGGUAUAGACCCGAAACCCGGUGAUCUAGCCAUGGGCAGGUUGAAGGUUGGGUAACACUAACUGGAGGACCGAACCGACUAAUGUUGAAAAAUUAGCGGAUGACCUGUGGCUGGGGGUGAAAGGCCAAUCAAACCGGGAGAUAGCUGGUUCUCCCCGAAAGCUAUUUAGGUAGCGCCUCGUGAACUCAUCUUCGGGGGUAGAGCACUGUUUCGGCUAGGGGGCCAUCCCGGCUUACCAACCCGAUGCAAACUACGAAUACCGAAGAAUGUUAUCACGGGAGACACACGGCGGGUGCUAACGUCCGUCGUGAAGAGGGAAACAACCCAGACCGCCAGCUAAGGUCCCAAAGUCAUGGUUAAGUGGGAAACGAUGUGGGAAGGCCCAGACAGCCAGGAUGUUGGCUUAGAAGCAGCCAUCAUUUAAAGAAAGCGUAAUAGCUCACUGGUCGAGUCGGCCUGCGCGGAAGAUGUAACGGGGCUAAACCAUGCACCGAAGCUGCGGCAGCGACGCUUAUGCGUUGUUGGGUAGGGGAGCGUUCUGUAAGCCGUUGAAGGUGGCCUGUGAGGGUUGCUGGAGGUAUCAGAAGUGCGAAUGCUGACAUAAGUAACGAUAAAGCGGGUGAAAAGCCCGCUCGCCGGAAGACCAAGGGUUCCUGUCCAACGUUAAUCGGGGCAGGGUGAGUCGACCCCUAAGGCGAGGCCGAAAGGCGUAGUCGAUGGGAAACAGGUUAAUAUUCCUGUACUUGGUGUUACUGCGAAGGGGGGACGGAGAAGGCUAUGUUAGCCGGGCGACGGUUGUCCCGGUUUAAGCAUGUAGGCGGAGGUUCCAGGUAAAUCCGGUACCUUUUAACGCUGAGGUGUGAUGACGAGGCACUACGGUGCUGAAGUAACAAAUGCCCUGCUUCCAGGAAAAGCCUCUAAGCAUCAGGUAACAUCAAAUCGUACCCCAAACCGACACAGGUGGUCAGGUAGAGAAUACCAAGGCGCUUGAGAGAACUCGGGUGAAGGAACUAGGCAAAAUGGUGCCGUAACUUCGGGAGAAGGCACGCUGAUAUGUAGGUGAAGCCCCUGCGGGUGGAGCUGAAAUCAGUCGAAGAUACCAGCUGGCUGCAACUGUUUAUUAAAAACACAGCACUGUGCAAACACGAAAGUGGACGUAUACGGUGUGACGCCUGCCCGGUGCCGGAAGGUUAAUUGAUGGGGUUAGCGGCAACGCGAAGCUCUUGAUCGAAGCCCCGGUAAACGGCGGCCGUAACUAUAACGGUCCUAAGGUAGCGAAAUUCCUUGUCGGGUAAGUUCCGACCUGCACGAAUGGCGUAAUGAUGGCCAGGCUGUCUCCACCCGAGACUCAGUGAAAUUGAACUCGCUGUGAAGAUGCAGUGUACCCGCGGCAAGACGGAAAGACCCCGUGAACCUUUACUAUAGCUUGACACUGAACACUGGUCCUUGAUGUGUAGGAUAGGUGGGAGGCUUUGAAGCGUGGACGCCAGUCUGCGUGGAGCCAUCCUUGAAAUACCACCCUUUAAUGGCUGGUGUUCUAACGUAGACCCGUAAUCCGGGUUGCGGACAGUGUCUGGUGGGUAGUUUGACUGGGGCGGUCUCCUCCCAAAGAGUAACGGAGGAGCACGAAGGUUAGCUAAUCCUGGUCGGACAUCAGGAGGUUAGUGCAAUGGCAUAAGCUAGCUUGACUGCGAGAGUGACGGCUCGAGCAGGUGCGAAAGCAGGUCAUAGUGAUCCGGUGGUUCUGAAUGGAAGGGCCAUCGCUCAACGGAUAAAAGGUACUCCGGGGAUAACAGGCUGAUACCGCCCAAGAGUUCAUAUCGACGGCGGUGUUUGGCACCUCGAUGUCGGCUCAUCACAUCCUGGGGCUGAAGUAGGUCCCAAGGGUAUGGCUGUUCGCCAUUUAAAGUGGUACGCGAGCUGGGUUUAGAACGUCGUGAGACAGUUCGGUCCCUAUCUGCCGUGGGCGCUGGAGAAUUGAGGGGGGCUGCUCCUAGUACGAGAGGACCGGAGUGGACGCAUCACUGGUGUUCGGGUUGUCAUGCCAAUGGCACUGCCCGGUAGCUAAAUGCGGAAGAGAUAAGUGCUGAAAGCAUCUAAGCACGAAACUUGCCCCGAGAUGAGUUCUCCCUGAGACUUAAAGUCUCCUGAAGGAACGUUGAAGACGACGACGUUGAUAGGUCGGGUGUGUAAGCGCAGCGAUGCGUUGAGCUAACCGAUACUAAUGAACCGUGAGGCUUAACCUU
rnacentral:rRNA from 1 species